GUUUUUGCUGUUAUAAGCUACUUUGGUUCCUCGCUAAUUUGGGUUAUGUAUGUAAUAGCAAACUGAUCCUAUAGUAAGUAUGGUCUGUUCAUUUUUAAUUAAGGAGAAGGACUUGGCUGAUUACAACUGUUUUCUUUCCCUACAUUCAGAGUGGGUGUGUCCUGACUUUACAUCACCUGGAGCAACUCCCCAGUGAUGGGUUUGUCUCUAUGGGCCGGAGCAGAGCAUAUGGAUGAAAAUAUUUGCUGUAGGGUAUUCCUGGCUGUUGAAGAUGAAAUCCAGGCCCUACAUAAGGCUGUGGAAGAGUUACUAUGGACUUCUAUGGGGUCAUCAUUUGACUCCAAAAGGUUUCUUUUCUUGACAAGGAAUGUGAAAUUUGCAUUUAAAUUUCCUGGGGUUCAUCUGUUCAUCAGCACCAAGGCCAUCUCUGUGAUUUACAGGUUUUGCCUUUAAUGAUUUUCUCAAACAAAAUGAAAAAUUUUCUUUUUUAGUUCUCCUUUUGAAAUCUCCAGUACUAACAUCAGAUUUUAAAUUGAAUACAUGACAAAUGAAAGAUGUGCAUUGAUUUUUCAAUCCAGAGUCCUUUUGAAAAAGAAAUAAAUUAUUAUAAAAACCAAAAUAAACCA
rnacentral:lncRNA from 1 species